rnacentral:rRNA from 1 species
UAGGGAAUUUUUCACAAUGAGCGAAAGCUUGAUGGAGCAAUGCCGCGUGAACGAUGAAGGUCUUUAAGAUUGUAAAGUUCUUUUAUUUGGGAAGAAUGACUUUAGCAGGUAAUGGCUAGAGUUUGACUGUACCAUUUUGAAUAAGUGACGACUAACUAUGUGCCAGCAGUCGCGGUAAUACAUAGGUCGCAAGCGUUAUCCGGAUUUAUUGGGCGUAAAGCAAGCGCAGGCGGAUUGAAAAGUCUGGUGUUAAAGGCAGCUGCUUAACAGUUGUAUGCAUUGGAAACUAUUAAUCUAGAGUGUGGUAGGGAGUUUUGGAAUUUCAUGUGGAGCGGUGAAAUGCGUAGAUAUAUGAAGGAACACCAGUGGCGAAGGCGAAAACUUAGGCCAUUACUGACGCUUAGGCUUGAAAGUGUGGGGAGCAAAUAGGAUUAGAUACCCUAGUAGUCCACACCGUAACGAUAGAUACUAGCUGUCGGGGCGAUCCCCUCGGUAGUGAAGUUAACACAUUAAGUAUCUCGCCUGGGUAGUACAUUCGCAAGAAUG